rnacentral:rRNA from 1 species
CGUUUACCGUGAAAAAAUUAGAGUGUUCAAAGCAGGCAGAUUCAAUUUUCUGCCACCGAAUACAUUAGCAUGGGAUAAUGGAAUAGGACCCUGUCCUCCUAUUUUCAGUUGGUUUUGGCAGCGCGAGGACUAGGGUAAUGAUUAAUAGGGAUAGUUGGGGGCAUUAAUAUUUAAUUGUCAGAGGUGAAAUUCUUGGAUUUAUGAAAGAUUAACUUCUGCGAAAGCAUCUGCCAAGGAUGUUUUCAUUAAUCAAGAACGAAAGUUAGGGGAUCGAAGACGAUCAGAUACCGUCGUAGUCUUAACCAUAAACGAUGCCGACCAGCGAUUAGGAGACGUUGAAUACAAAACACCACCAUCGGCGCGGUCGUCCUUGGCGCGUUCGUGUUCACGCACGGGCGCGCGAGGGCGGUUUAGCCCGGUGGCACCGGUGAAUGACUCCCCUAGCAGCUUGUGAGA